CCUACGGGUGGCAGCAGUGGGGAAUAUUGGACAAUGGGCGAAAGCCUGAUCCAGCCAUGCCGCGUGUGUGAAGAAGGCCUUCGGGUUGUAAAGCACUUUCAGUGGGGAAGAAAGCCUUGGGGCUAAUACCCUCGAGGAAGGACAUCACCCACAGAAGAAGCACCGGCUAACUCCGUGCCAGCAGCCGCGGUAAUACAGAGGGUGCGAGCGUUAAUCGGAAUUACUGGGCGUAAAGCGCGCGUAGGCGGUCUGAUAAGCCGGUUGUGAAAGCCCCGGGCUCAACCUGGGAACGGCAUCCGGAACUGUCAGGCUAGAGUGCAGGAGAGGAAGGUAGAAUUCCCGGUGUAGCGGUGAAAUGCGUAGAGAUCGGGAGGAAUACCAGUGGCGAAGGCGGCCUUCUGGACUGACACUGACGCUGAGGUGCGAAAGCGUGGGUAGCAAACAGGAUUAGAUACCCGAGUAGUC
rnacentral:rRNA from 1 species